AGAAAAGACGAAUGGCUUUUGUUUUAAACUGAGGGCACUUUUACAAAAGUCAUCUUUCCAUUUAUUUUUCUUUCAGAAAAAAGAAUUUGGGUUUUGAGCUUUUUAAAAAAAAAAAGACAAACACUUUCCUUGACUUUGAGAAAUAAUUUAAGUCAAAGAAUCUGCUCUAUGCUAACCAAGAGAUAGAUCACAGCAAAGACCUGCCAGCCCCGGGCCUCUACCUAGUGGCCUGGAAAUUCAAGUAUUCUUAUUGGUGGAGGCCAUUUGUUUCUGAUUAGAAGCUGUCUAAACCUCCUACUUCUCAACUCAAAGGAAAACACAGAGCAUACCAUGGCCAAGAAAGUUGCAGUGAUUGGAGCUGGUGUGAGUGGCCUCUCCUCCAUCAAAUGCUGUGUGGAUGAGGACCUGGAGCCCACCUGCUUUGAGAGAAGUGAUGACAUUGGGGGAUUAUGGAAGUUUACUGAAUCUUCCAAAGAUGGGAUGACCAGGGUCUAUAAGUCAUUAGUGACAAAUGUCUGUAAGGAAAUGUCAUGUUACAGUGACUUCCCUUUCCACGAAGAUUAUCCUAAUUUCAUGAACCAUGAAAAAUUUUGGGACUAUCUCCAAGAAUUUGCUGAGCACUUUGACCUCCUGAAAUACAUUCAGUUUAAGGACUCUGUAAGAUACCUCCAUCCCAAAAAUUGAUGAUGGAGGCUACUGAAAAGGAACAGCUCAUUAAA
rnacentral:sRNA from 1 species